UAGGCUUGACAGGUGGUCAGUAGAGAACCGAAAGGGGAG
rnacentral:rRNA from 1 species